rnacentral:rRNA from 1 species
GACGAACCGAGCGAACGUUGUUCGGAAUCACUGGGCUUAAAGGGCGCGUAGGCGGGUUUGCAAGUCCGGGGUGAAAUCCCACAGCUCAACUGUGGAACUGCCUCGGAUACUGUGAGUCUCGAGGGUGGCAGGGGUAUGCGGAACUAUCGGUGGAGCGGUGAAAUGCGUUGAUAUCGAUAGGAACUCCGGUGGCGAAGGCGGCAUACUGGUCCACUUCUGACGCUGAGGCGCGAAAGCCAGGGGAGCAAACGGGAUUAGAUACCCCGGUAGUCCUGGCCCUAAACGAUGGGAACUAGCUAGUAGGCUUCACAUGGGUUUACUGGCGAAGCAAAAGUGCUAAGUUCCCCGCCUGGGGAGUAUGGUCGCAAGGCUGAA